UAACAGGAUUCCCCUAGUAACUGCGAGUGAAGCGGGAAAAGCUCAAAUUUAAAAUCUGGCGGUCUGCUGGCCGUCCGAGUUGUAGUCUGGAGAAGUGUUAUCCGCGUCGGACCGUGUACAAGUCUCCUGGAAUGGAGCGUCAUAGAGGGUGAGAAUCCCGUCCAUGACACGGACGACCGAUGCUAUGUGAGGCACUCUCAAAGAGUCGAGUUGUUUGGGAAUGCAGCUCAAAAUGGGUGGUAAAUUCCAUCUAAAGCUAAAUAUUGGCGAGAGACCGAUAGCGAACAAGUACCGUGAGGGAAAGAUGAAAAGCACUUUGGAAAGAGAGUUAAACAGUACGUGAAAUUGUUGAAAGGGAAACGCUUGAAGUCAGUCGCGUCCUGUGGAACUCAGCCUUGCUUCGGCCUGGUGUACUUUCUGCAGGACGGGUCAACAUCAGUUUUGGCCGGUGGAAAAAGGCUAGGGGAAUGUAGCGCCGUUUCGGCGGCGUGUUAUAGCCCUUCGUCAAAUACACUGGCUGGGACUGAGGACUGCAGCACGCCCUUGUGGCCGGGGGUUCGCCCCACGUAACGUGCUUAGGAUGUUGGCAUAAUGGCUUUAAGCGACCCGUCUUGAAACACGGACCAAGGAGUCUAACAUGCCUGCAAGUGUUCGGGUGGAAAACCCUUGCGCGUAAUGAAAGUGAAAGUUGGGAACCUCCGCAAGGGGGUGCACCGACGCCCGGCCCUGAAGUUCUCUGACGGUGCUGCGGUAGAGCAAGUAUGUUGGGACCCGAAAGAUGGUGAACUAUGCCUGAAUAGGGCGAAGCCAGAGGAAACUCUGGUGGAGGCUCGUAGCGAUUCUGACGUGCAAAUCGAUCGUCAAAUUUGGG
rnacentral:rRNA from 1 species